UACGAAGGGUGCAAGCGUUACUCGGAAUUACUGGGCGUAAGGCGUGCGUAGGUGGUGAGUUAAGUCUGUCGUGAAAGCCCCGGGCUCAACCUGGGAAUGGCGAUGGAUACUGGCUCGCUAGAGUGCGGUAGAGGAGAGUGGAAUUCCCGGUGUAGCAGUGAAAUGCGUAGAGAUCGGGAGGAACAUCAGUUGCGAAGGCGGCUCUCUGGACCAGCACUGACACUGAGGCACGAAAGCGUGGGAGCAAACAGG
rnacentral:rRNA from 1 species